UAAAAUUGCAAUUUGGCUGGUGAACGAAACGGAGUGGGACAAUUAUAAGCAUGACAAAUGAAUUUCGCAUUGGGGCCGGUGUUCUGAAUUCCCUGCCCAUGCCCAUGACCAAGUUCCCAGGAAAACUGUCAGUGGAGGAUCAGUGGCGUUGAGACAGAUCCAAAAGAUCAGAGGAUCAGAGAGUUGGAGGAUCAGAGGAUCGGGUCGCAGCUGUUGCCGCUGGGCACACACCUUCAACUCGUUGAGGGUCUUUUGCAUCUCAGGCUCGUUCCGUUCCGUUUCGUAUCGUAUCGUAUCGUUGCAGUUCGUGCGUGUUGCGUUUUAUAUGAAUAAUUGCAUCAAGAUUUUUGCCAACUCUUAACUCUUUUGCGGUCGACUGUGGCAGCUGCCCCAACGGCCCAACUGCACUGGACACAUCAUUUCUGUGGCCGUUUCAAGCUGUAGCCGUCUUCACACAGAAACACGCACAUUUUUGGCAUUCAUAAAAUGUUGCAGCGAAACCAACAAACCAGAAGCAACAAAAAAAAAUAAAGAAAAAAAAGCUAGAGAGGACACAAACGGGACAUGAAAUUGUUUUGCACAUAACAGCAAGCAAACAAACAUGAAAAGGGAUAUGGAUGCGGAUAAACGAAUAUGAUUGCCGCGGCAUGUGAAAAAAGCAUAACUGAAAUAUUCUUGCCGCUUAAAACAAACAGGCGUAAAAAAAUGAAACAGCCAAAGGAGCACGAACUGGGCAUUUUGUUUGCUUUUUUAUUAUAUUGCUCGCCCUUUGAAAGUAAAUUUGAAAAAAUAUUUUGAUAAAACCAAAAUGUUAUUUGUCUCGUUAAUGUAAUGAAAACGACUUGCUAAAAGGA